rnacentral:lncRNA from 1 species
GUGAAAAGAAUGGUCUUUAAUGUUUUGGCAAAGUCUUUCUCAGCCCGGAGUAAACAUGAAAUGAGUGGGCUGGAGUGAAAUUGUUUCACAGUGUACAAAGCGGUUCACAUGGAUGCUGCCACAGCAAAGUAAGCGGACAUGGAUUUGAGGUCAUUUGCAUGAGUCAAACUUUGCAAUGAGUAACUCACCUAGGAAGAUAUAAAUUAUUUAGAUAAUGAUUUGCAAAGGAAAUGAUCUACUGAAGUUGUACCAGCUACAUUUUAAAAAAGUAGUUCUACAUGGUUUGCUCAUUAUAGACAAAUCUAUUCACAGUAUGUGCGACUAUAUUACAUGUAAAUUCAUAUGGCAAAAGAAAAUGAAUUAACACAGAACAUGGGAAAAUAUCCCCCACAUGUUUUAAAAUGCCCUGCAAUUUUUCACAUUCAAAAUUUUAUGCAUCUAAGUCUAAAAAAAUAUUAUAUGGAAUACUCUUAAGUUACACAAACUGAUAAUAAUUUACUGUAUUUUUUACUCUAAUAGGAGCAAAUUACCACAUACUUGAACAAAGUUAAAAUAGUUACUAUUUCUUUAUAAUAAAUUUGAUGUAUAAUUUACUUUACUUGUGCUUUUUGCACCAAUUUAUAAAUACAGUAUAUGCAAUACACAACCAAGACAGACACCAACAUUAAUAAUUAAAUUCAAAAUAGCAAAUACUUACCAUAUAAAAUAAACAGCAAAUACAUCUCUUAUGAAAA